rnacentral:rRNA from 1 species
AGAACAAGAGUUACGGUAUCGUCUAACUGAUAUAUACGUAUACGCCCCUCUGUCGAUCGCCUGAUAUCUGGAAGGAGAGAUAGCCGACCUCGAAGUCCUCGUCUUCUGUCACGACGAAGGUCGGAGUGGAGAAAGGCGACCACAAACAAAAUAUUAACGGGGUGGGACGAUGGGUCCAUAGGUCGUUUAGUAAUAGUAAUCAUGACCAAUAACGACUGAUCUGUCGAAAGUCUUAAACUUAACAUCCCCAGUGUAAUGUCUCGUUCAUCGUCUUCGUUAUCAGCGAAUGUAGAGAGUCAACGCAAGAAAGGAGCCUCUUAACUGCCAAGGUUAAGGUUACUUGUCUAUCGAGGUGUUAACUAUAAUACUCGUUAUCAUCUAUAGAAUUAACACCGUUAUAAAGAACGACACCUAAAUAAAAUAAUCUCAAAUUUCAAAUUUGGUUGAACGAACCAACUCCGAAUGUAACGGAAAAAUGGUAAAAAGAAGCAAGAGCCGUUAUAGUCACGUGUCAACUGUCAAUACGUGACGGAAAAGAAAGAAUAUAUAUGUACACCGUUAUUCCCCAAGUACGUCCACGUGUCCCAGUUCCCGAGUGUGGAAGUACCGCUGGAUGGACGUACAUCCACUUGGUAUGUAGGAGAGAAAAGAGUAACCACAAAUUAGACGGCAGGAUUACAUUACGAGACUUUAACAUGGUACAACACGUUCAAAUUGUAAAUCAUCUUACUUCAUGAUAUGUUUAUUUGUGUGUAUGUACUAAUCAUGAAUACCGAACAGGAAGAUGGGUAUAAAUGAAUAUAUUUUAUGGUUUUAAGUUUAUCUGUACGUGCUUAUAAUGGAUACUGAAUAGUAAACAGGUACUGAUGGGGCACGCACCGACACAUGUACCAAGGUUACAACGAUAAAUAGUACAUUCAUACCAUGACACAUAUAACAACCGAUUGUUAACAAAAACUAUAUGCUAAUCAUCUCUAACUGAACCACCGGACGACUUAAAGGUUUUUCCUGCAGGAUGAGUGGUGAGACUUCUAUAAAAUUUUAAAAUCUGUCCAAUUGAACAAAAGGUGGAUAAAACAGGAUAUUGAAGUUAAAAGGUAUUGUACCUAGCUAUACUGUACGGGUUCAGAGUACUUUAAAUUAACAUCAACUCUGCAAAAGUGAAAGUGAUAGAUUAUAUUUAGUCAUUUGAGGUACAAAGUAAGGAGGUAUAACGAUAUAUUAAAGGAUGAUAAUAUACCCUUUUUACCUGUCCGCGCUGUAACGCACUCGGCUGGCUAAAUUACAAAACCAACAACGACCAGCAGCCUACGUAUAUAGAUUCGUUUUGACAGAGACGAUGGACCGUAAUUGUAGGAUGCCCGCCGAUAAGGCCAUCGUAAAAACCUCCCAAAACUAAUCAACCGGAUGUACCCGACAAGAUACAUGUUUCGGGUCGGCACCUUCGUUGAAUACACUCGUCGGUGUGUUGACUUAUUGUUGGUUCAUCCUCACGUUCCUUCUAUUAUCUCCAAAACCAGACGGCUCUCCAGUACGUUAUGAAGAGAUAAGGGUAAAGUCCAAUGUUGUUAAUCAGGUGACUAACUUCCGAUCGACAACGAAGAACUAGUUGGGAUAAUCGAAAAUCUACACGAAAGUUCAUACAAGUAACAUCAGGCCACGACAACAAAUUCAAUUUCACUCUCGAUAAUGCUAGUCAAACAAAAAACUGGACAAGUAAACUUUCAUCGGUUUCCAUGUUUACCUAUACAUCUAACAUAUGUGUUAAAUAUACUUUGUUGAAAACAGUC